rnacentral:tRNA from 1 species
GUUAUAUCUGGUGUAGAGGUUAUCACGUUCGCUUUACACGCGAAAGGUCCCCGGUUCGAUCCCGGGCGGAACCA